rnacentral:rRNA from 1 species
AUUGAACGCUGGCGGCAUGCCUUACACAUGCAAGUCGAACGGCAGCACGGGAGCAAUCCUGGUGGCGAGUGGCGAACGGGUGAGUAAUAUAUCGGAACGUGCCCAGUAGUGGGGGAUAGCCCGGCGAAAGCCGGAUUAAUACCGCAUGAGACCUGAGGGUGAAAGCGGGGGAUCGCAAGACCUCGCGCUAUUGGAGCGGCCGAUAUCAGAUUAGCUAGUUGGUGGGGUAAAGGCCUACCAAGGCAACGAUCUGUAGUUGGUCUGAGAGGACGACCAGCCACACUGGGACUGAGACACGGCCCAGACUCCUACGGGAGGCAGCAGUGGGGAAUUUUGGACAAUGGGCGCAAGCCUGAUCCAGCAAUGCCGCGUGCAGG